rnacentral:rRNA from 1 species
UACGAAGGGGGCUAGCGUUGCUCGGAAUCACUGGGCGUAAAGCGCACGUAGGCGGCUUGUUAAGUCAGGGGUGAAAUCCUGGAGCUCAACUCCAGAACUGCCUUUGAUACUGGCGAGCUUGAGUCCGGGAGAGGUGAGUGGAACUGCGAGUGUAGAGGUGAAAUUCGUAGAUAUUCGCAAGAACACCAGUGGCGAAGGCGGCUCACUGGCCCGGUACUGACGCUGAGGUGCGAAAGCGUGGGGAGCGAUCCGG